CCUACGGGAGGCAGCAGUGAGGAAUAUUGGUCAAUGGACGAGAGCCUGAACCAGCCAAGUAGCGUGAAGGAUGACUGCCCUAUGGGAUGUAAACUUCUUUUAUAUGGGAAUAAAAUGUUCCACGUGUGGGAUUUUGUAUGUACCAUAUGAAUAAGGAUCGGCUAACUCCGUGCCAGCAGCCGCGGUAAUACGGAGGAUCCGAGCGUUAUCCGGAUUUAUUGGGGUUAAAGGGAGCGGAGGGGGUUUUUUAAGUUAGUUGUGAAAGUUUGCGGCUCAACCGUAAAAUUGCAGUUGAAACUGGCAGUCUUGAGUACAGUAGAGGUGUGCGGAAUUCGUGGUGUAGCGGUGAAAUGCUUAGAUAUCACGAAGAACUCCGAUUGCGAAGGCAGCUCACUGGCCUGCAACUGACACUGAGGCUCGAAAGUGUGGGUAUCAAACAGGAUUAGAUACCCGAGUAGUC
rnacentral:rRNA from 1 species